GGGUUCUAGUUUGGUUUGGUUCGACAUAAAAACCUGCAGCCCAAAACGCAGGCCCAUCUCCGAAGUUGUCCAGUCCAAACUCGAAUGGACGGAGAAACUCGCCACUCUCGCGGCCGGUGAGAGUCUCAGCCUCCCGGAGCUCCGUCUACUGUUCAGACUUCAGCCAUUGGAAAAUGAAGUUUGUGGAUUGGUAUUUGAAGAUCGCAUUCGGGUCGGCUCUGAUUGGAGUUUGUCAUGAUCGAGGCCGGCUUCUUAACUGUUCUGGAGUCAGAAAAACAGGCUUGGGAGAACUCGCCAGAGGCCCAAGCUAUCAGGGAUCAAUCCUUGGAGAAACCGCGAUGCAGAAGCAAGCAAGGAAUCCUAAGUAGGAUGGCUGCAUGUUCACAAGGAAGAAGAUAACAGUACUAGCAGGAGAUCAAUCUGAGAAAUACUGUAAAAGAUGACAUUGUUUCUUUUAGUUGAACAACGUGAGAGGUGACCUUGAUCAUCCUGAAAAUUAUUUCAUUCCUUCGAUUUAUAUAACUUGUAUCGUUCUUGUCCUGGGGAACAUGAUCAACAGUUUUGAAAGAAUAUGAAUGUAGCCAUUUUGGUUGGUUCUCGUA